GCUGGGCGUGGUGGCCCACACCUGUAAUCCCAGCCCUUUGGGAGGCCGAGGUGGGCGGAUCACCUGAGGUCAGGAGUUCAAGACCUGCCUGACCAACAUGGUGAAACCCCGUCUCUA
ensembl:misc_RNA Metazoa_SRP Metazoan signal recognition particle RNA